AGUGAAGCGUAUUGACUUCCAGAAGUCCGAGCCAUCUGGGAGGUGGCAGGUCCAAGGAUGAGGCCAUAGCCCAGCUGUAGCUCCAUCUCCCCACCCCCACUCCAGGGCAUCAGGAGAAAAUACCAAAGUUCCAGCACAAGUCCUGCGCACAGGUGCUCAGCAGUGCCCACUGAUAACAAAGGCGCACACUGGCCUUGGGGCCUGGAGGAAUAGUCACCCGAACAGCCUGUACCUCAGGCAGCAAAUCAAAGGAGAAUUCAGGUCCUAGGGAGAAGGAAGACUCGGUGACCCUGGCUCAGGGCGAUCACCUGCACAAGACCUGUGCAAGGUCAAGCCAGCAAGAUCAGCCAAUACCCAGUAGGCAGCCCCGCUGAUUGGACUCAGUGAAUUAUGAAACAACAGAGCAAGGUGUGGUUUUAUACUUGUAUCGGGAGGCAGAGACAGGCAGAGCCCUUGACUUUGAGGCCAGCCUGGUGUACUUGGCAAGUUCCAAGGGAGUCAGGA